AUUAAUUAGAUAGUAUAGUAAAUACACUAUCACGAAAGGCCGUGAGCUAAGCAAAUAUAGAAGGUUAAAAUACGUCGCAUAGUAUUUUUUUAAUAUGUGCUUAGGGGUGAUAGGCCUUCCAAACUGCCUGAUAACUUGUUUCAUAUGAAAAGUAUUUAGUACAAAAACAGUCUUAAAAAGUUAAGCUUUUAAGAAAUUAUAAAACACAUUCUGGCUUUUAAUAUAGUAUAACAGCUAAUUAGUAAUUAAUCUAAAUAUUAAUUAUGGCUUUUUAUAAUUAUUAAUAUGAUAACUUAACUUACUCUGCAGUUUGAUAAUGUUAAUAUAAGUAUUACUCUAAGUGUGUUAAAGGAACUCGGCAAAUAACCGCUCAACUGUUUAUCAAAAACAUAGCUAUAUGAGAUAAUAUAUAGUUAUUUCUGCUCCAUGUUUAUUAAAUAGCCGCAGUACCCUGACUGUGCAAAGGUAGCAUAAUCAGUUGGCUUUUAAUUAGAGUCUGGUAUGAAUGAAAAUAUGGGUGGUGACUGUCUUAACAUAUUUUACUGAAUUUAUUGAGCAAGUGCAAAUACUUGUAAAUUUACAAAAGACGAGAAGACCCUAGAAACUUGAAGUAGUUUUUGUUGGGGCGACAGAAUUACAUUUAACUAAUUUUAAACGACAUGACAUUCAAUUGAAGGAAUAAGUUACUCUAGGGAUAACAGCAUAAUUUAAAUAGUUUGUGACCUCGAUGUUGGACUAGGUAUUAUACUCUUAAGGCAAGAGUAUAAAAUGCUCUGUUCGAGCACGUGCACCUACAU
rnacentral:rRNA from 1 species